CCAGUGUUGAUCAGUGGCUGUCCAGGCCUUUCAGAGCCACUGACACGCUGACAGCACAAUGAUGAUGUCACUGAUUCUACUGCUGGCCACCCUGGGGCUCCUUGUUCAGGAUUCAUCAGGAGAAAUCAUCCUGACUCAGUCUCCUGGAUCUCAGUCUGUUGUUCCAGGACAGACUGUCUCUAUCAGAUGUAAAGCCAGUUCAAGUGUUACUAAUGACUUGCAGUGGUACCUUCAGAAACCAGGAGAAGCUCCUGAGCUCCUGAUUUAUAAUGCUCAAUCCCGUCAGUCUGGUAUUUCAGAUCGUUUUAGUGGGACUCAGUCUGGAACUGAUUUCACUCUGACCAUCAGUGGAGUUCAGGCUGAAGAUGCAGGAGUUUAUCACUGUCAGCAGGAUAACAGUCUCCCUUUCACACAGUGA